rnacentral:rRNA from 1 species
GACGAACGCUGGCGGCGUGCUUAACACAUGCAAGUCGAACGGAAAGGCCCUGCUUUUGUGGGGUGCUCGAGUGGCGAACGGGUGAGUAACACGUGAGUAACCUGCCCUUGACUUUGGGAUAACUUCAGGAAACUGGGGCUAAUACCGGAUAGGAGCUCCUGCUGCAUGGUGGGGGUUGGAAAGUUUCGGCGGUUGGGGAUGGACUCGCGGCUUAUCAGCUUGUUGGUGGGGUAGUGGCUUACCAAGGCUUUGACGGGUAGGCGGCCUGGGAGGGUGACCGGCGACAUGGGUACUGAGGUACGGACCAGUCGCCAACGGGAGGCAGCAGUGGGGAAUAUUGCACAAUGGGCGGAAGCCUGAUGCAGCAGCGCCGCGUGCGGGAUGCCGGCCUUCGGGUUGUAAACCGCUUUCGCCUGUGACGAAGCGUGAGUGACGGUAAUGGGUAAAGAAGCACCGGCUAACUACGUG